GGUCAGGAUGAAGAGCGAACACUCGAGCCAAGCUGAGGGGGAGCGGUCGGACGCAGGCUGAGGAGGAGGAAACGGCUGCUCAGCGACUCUGCGUGCUUAUCACGGGAGCCAACAGAGGCCUUGACCCGGAGAUGGUUACGCACCUGGUGGAAGCUCUCCACCCGGGGAGAAAACUGUGCCGUGCUGUUUUCACUCGUCACCUCCUUUCUCAGGUGCAUGGAACAUGGAGACAUUGUCCUCUAGGGGAGCUGAUGAAGGAUGGAUGAGAUCCUGUUUUCAGGGCUACACCCUCAGUGGCCACGCUCUGAUACGGGUAAAGAAGAGGGGGAGACUGGCGCUCAGUGGAUGUUAAGUGUGACGGCCUCCCUCACUGAGAAGCAGGAUGAAGCCUUCCUGGACAGGAAGUCUUUGCCCUGACAGCUUUAAACUAAAGAAAGUGAAAUAAACCAGUUAUUGAUUA